rnacentral:rRNA from 1 species
GACGAACGCUGGCGGCGUGCCUAAUACAUGCAAGUAGAACGCUGAAGCGAGGAGCUUGCUCUUCUUGGAUGAGUUGCGCACGGGUGAGUAACGCGUAGGUAACCUGCCUGGUAGCGGGGGAUAACUAUUGGAAACGAUAGCUAAUACCGCAUAAAAUGGAUUAUCGCAUGAUACUCCAUUUAAAGGUGCAAAUGCCUCACUACCAGAUGGACCUGCGUUGUAUUAGCUAGUUGGUGGGGUAACGGCUCACCAAGGCGACGAUACAUAGCCGACCUGAGAGGGUGAUCGGCCAAAAUGGGACUGAGACAAGGCCCAGACUCCUACGGGAGGCAGCAGUAGGGAAGCUUCGGCAAUGGACGGAAGUCUGACCGAGCAACGCCGCGUGAGUGAAGAAGGGUUUCGGAUCGUAAAGCUCUGUUGUAAGAGAAGAAAGAGUGUGAGAGUGGAAAGUUCACACUGUGACGGUAUCUUAACAGAAAGGGACGGCUAACUACGUG